rnacentral:rRNA from 1 species
ACGAACGCUGGCGGCGUGCUUCACACAUGCAAGUCGAACGGAAAGGCCCUGCUUUUGUGGGGUGCUCGAGUGGCGAACGGGUGAGUAACACGUGAGUAACCUGCCCUUGACUUUGGGAUAACUUCAGGAAACUGGGGCUAAUACCGGAUAGGAGCUCCUGCUGCAUGGUGGGGGUUGGAAAGUUUCGGCGGUUGGGGAUGGACUCGCGGCUUAUCAGCUUGUUGGUGGGGUAGUGGCUUACCAAGGCUUUGACGGGUAGCCGGACUGAGAGGGUGACCGGCCACAUUGGGACUGAGAUACGGCCCAGACUCCUACGGGAGGCAGCAGUGGGGAAUAUUGCACAAUGGGCGGAAGCCUGAUGCAGCAACGCCGCGUGCGGGAUGACGGCCUUCGGGUUGUAAACCGCUUUCGCCUGUGACGAAGCGUGAGUGACGGUAAUGGGUAAAGAAGCACCGGCUAACUACGUG